rnacentral:rRNA from 1 species
CCCUGGCAGUCAGAGGCGAUGAAGGACGUGCUAAUCUGCGAUAAGCGUCGGUAAGGUGAUAUGAACCGUUAUAACCGGCGAUUUCCGAAUGGGGAAACCCAGUGUGUUUCGUCACACUAUCAUUAACUGAAUCCAUAGGUUAAUGAGGCGAACCGGGGGAACUGAAACAUCUAAGUACCCCGAGGAAAAGAAAUCAACCGAGAUUCCCCCAGUAGCGG